rnacentral:rRNA from 1 species
UACGUAGGGGGCAAGCGUUGUCCGGAUUUAUUGGGCGUAAAGAGCUCGUAGGCGGUUGGGCAAGUCACGUGUGAAAUCUCCACGCUCAACGUGGAGGCGCCACGUGAGACUGCCCUGACUCGAGUCCGGUAGGGGAGUGUGGAAUUCCCGGUGUAGCGGUGAAAUGCGCAGAUAUCGGGAGGAACACCAGUGGCGAAGGCGGCCACCUGGACGGAUACUGACGCUGAGACGCGAAAGCGUGGGGAGCAAACAGG